GACGAACGCUGGCGGCGUGCCUAAUACAUGCAAGUAGAACGCUGAAGAGAGGAGCUUGCUCUUCUUGGAUGAGUUGCGAACGGGUGAGUAACGCGUAGGUAACCUGCCUUGUAGCGGGGGAUAACUAUUGGAAACGAUAGCUAAUACCGCAUAACAAUGGAUGACACAUGUCAUUUAUUUGAAAGGGGCAAUUGCUCCACUACAAGAUGGACCUGCGUUGUAUUAGCUAGUAGGUGAGGUAAUGGCUCACCUAGGCGACGAUACAUAGCCGACCUGAGAGGGUGACCGGCCACACUGGGACUGAGACACGGCCCAGACUCCUACGGGAGGCAGCAGUAGGGAAUCUUCGGCAAUGGGGGCAACCCUGACCGAGCAACGCCGCGUGAGUGAAGAAGGUUUUCGGAUCGUAAAGCUCUGUUGUAAGUCAAGAACGGGUGUGAGAGUGGAAAGUUCACACUGUGACGGUAGCUUACCAGAAAGGGACGGCUAACUACGUG
rnacentral:rRNA from 1 species